GAUGAACGCUGGCGGCGUGCCUAAUACAUGCAAGUCGAGCGAACAGACGAGGAGCUUGCUCCUCUGACGUUAGCGGCGGACGGGUGAGUAACACGUGGAUAACCUACCUAUAAGACUGGGAUAACUUCGGGAAACCGGAGCUAAUACCGGAUAAUAUAUUGAACCGCAUGGUUCAAUAGUGAAAGACGGUUUUGCUGUCACUUAUAGAUGGAUCCGCGCCGCAUUAGCUAGUUGGUAAGGUAACGGCUUACCAAGGCGACGAUGCGUAGCCGACCUGAGAGGGGGAUCGGCAACACUGGAACGGAGACACGAUCCAGCCUACAAGGGAAGGAAGAAGAAGGAAAUCUCCCGCAUGGGGGGAAAGCCGGAGGGAGAAACGACGCGUGAGUAAGGAGGGUUUUGGGAACGAAAAACUUUUUUAUGGGGAAAAAAAAAAUGUGAAAGUAAUAAGGCACGUCUUAACGGUACAUAAUAAAAAAGCCACGGAAAACUACGUG
rnacentral:rRNA from 1 species